UUUCACUUUUGCUUACCAUGUAUUGGCAUGUCAUUCUACCUCAUCAGUGAGGGCUUGUUUGGAUGUUCAUUGUUGUAUAGAAUUCACCACUAUAAAACGUUAGAUUUCCCGUAUGCACUUCUGCUAAGAGAACAUUGGUUUAGGGUAUAAAACAGUGCAUAACUAAUACCUACAGACUUAUGUGAGGAUAUAAGUAUCACGGGAUGAGAAUAAGGUAUCUCAUUUCUGCAUAAAAAUCACUAUCUAUUUUUCAUUGCAUAGAUAUCCAUUUAUUAUUAUUCAUUGAAUACCAAUUCAUAUAUUAGUGCUUCCUAUAAAACAAGUCUGCGAACCAAAUAACUCCUAAGAGCCUAUAACCUUGUUGCUUGUCUGGCUGAGUCAUUUUGUUGGGAAUUGCAUAUUAUCUCUCAAACAAUUGAAAAAACCUUGUUGCUUGUCUGGCUGAGUUAUUUUGUUGGGAAUUGCAUAUUAUCUCUCAAACAAUUGAAACAUUUAAAUUUUAUGGGAUUCUCUAUGGAUUUUGACUCGGUAAUAAUCCAGUUCUAUUCCUUAAUCCUUCAUAUCUACUUAAGAAGUAUCUCUGUACCUGAAUUUGGGAUUUCUCUUGCUAUAUUAUGUGGCAUCCUUUUGCACAUAGGUUUCACUUAUAAUAUACCCUUUGUUAAUCUAUGAUACACACUGUAUAUAAGAGCAUGAAGAACAUCCUAAGGUAAGUUGUUUCAAUCAGUACUUAUUUGUUUGCUCGUCUCUUUUUCUUUUCAACUUUAAAUAAU
rnacentral:lncRNA from 1 species